GCAUACAGCCAUACUACCUUGAUCGUGACCGAUCUUGUCUGAUCUUGGAAGCUAAGCGGAGUUGGGCCUGGUUAGUAGUUGGAUGGGAGAAAAUAAUGCAUGUGACCUCAAAUCAAAAUAGGAUCCACAUAUA
rnacentral:rRNA from 1 species